rnacentral:rRNA from 1 species
AUUGAACGCUGGCGGCAUGCCUUACACAUGCAAGUCGAACGGCAGCAUGAUCUAGCUUGCUAGAUUGAUGGCGAGUGGCGAACGGGUGAGUAAUACAUCGGAACGUGCCCUGUAGUGGGGGAUAACUAGUCGAAAGAUUAGCUAAUACCGCAUACGACCUGAGGGUGAAAGUGGGGGACCGCAAGGCCUCAUGCUAUAGGAGCGGCCGACGUCUGAUUAGCUAGUUGGUGAGGUAAAGGCUCACCAAGGCGACGACCAGUAGCUGGUCUGAGAGGACGAUCAGCCACACUGGGACUGAGACACGGCCCAGACUCCUACGGGAGGCAGCAGUGGGGAAUUUUGGACAAUGGGGGCAACCCUGAUCCAGCAAUGCCGCGUGUGUGAAGAAGGCCUUCGGGUUGUGAAGCACUUUUGUCCGGAAAGAAAUCGCACUUACUAAUAUUAGGUGUGGAUGACGGUACCGGAAGAAUAAGGACCGGCUAACUACGUGCCAGCCGCCGCCGUAACAC